GACGAACGCUGGCGGCGUGCUUAACACAUGCAAGUCGAGCGGUAAGGCCCUUUCGGGGGUACACGAGCGGCGAACGGGUGAGUAACACGUGGGUGACCUGCCCUCAGCUCUGGGAUAAGCCUGGGAAACUGGGUCUAAUACCGGAUGUGACCUUCUGUUGCAUGACAGUGGGUGGAAAGUUCUGGGCUUGAUUGUCUGGGCUCGGCUGGGGAUGGGCCCGCGGCCUAUCAGCUUGNGGUGGGGUGAUGGCCUACCAAGGCGACGACGGGUAGCCGGCCUGAGAGGGCGUCCGGCCACACUGGGACUGAGACACGGCCCAGACUCCUACGGGAGGCAGCAGUGGGGAAUAUUGCGCAAUGGGCGGAAGCCUGACGCAGCGACGCCGCGU
rnacentral:rRNA from 1 species